CGUCAGCAGAUCGAACAAGGGUAAUUUGCUGCUUAAAAACAGUGAGCAAAAUCGCAUUUUGCUCACCGAGUGAGACAAAAUAACAUUCAAGUGACCUUUAGAAUCGAAUGUCAUUUCAACGUGCGGGGCCUAAUACAAGUUCGAAAUAUUUGGAUUCUAUUGUCUUUAUCCCUUUCACGUCAUUAGCAAAAAGAAAGAGACAAAAAAAGUGCAUACGUAAUUCAACGGUAUAUUGACGGUUUAUAAUAGACCCCCGAAAUAAGUCAGACCGCAUCGUUCCAAAACACCCUACGAGUCUUCAUUCGUAAUAAUUAAUUAAUGAAAUAAAAGUUUAAAAUUUAAUAAAAACACCAUAUUUUACGUAUUUUAUUAUACAAUCAAAACAAUGAACUUAUACAAAUUCACGCAAUUGUUACGCAGUAAAUAAUUCUACUUAACUACUUUUAACGAUCUCUACUAUAGUUGACAAAUAGUAGUAUCCGCAAUUCGGACCGGAUCUUACAAAGUUUUUUUGUUUACAAAAAAAAGUUGUCGAUUGAACUGUCAAUUGAUGUUCGUUAAUUCAUUAUUUUCGUAUUAUUUUAUUGAAAUUUCUUUCGUUUUGUUUUAUUGCGGUAAUUAAAGUUAAUUGUUAGAAUACCUUCAGAAAACAUGAGUGAAAUAGUGAUCCGUCCGUCUGGAUUACAUUUUUUCAGGUUGUAUUUUUUCAUGGCUGACUGACGUGAAAAAUUUUGUGUACUACACGAGAUCAAAGUUAUUUACAUCUCGUGCGCUUUUGAGUCCCUUACUACGCUCAACAUUCUAAAUUAGAUUCACUCGCUACGCUCGUGAAUCUAUUAUAGAAUCUUUCGCUUGCACGGGACUCAAAACAAGCACUCGAAGAAAUAUCAAACUUUGCUCUCUUGUUGUACAAAUAACUAUUGUGAGGAAUUAAUAACCAAAGUAGAUUAUAUUAAGUGGGUACAACCAACUGCAAAGAUAGCCACUUUAUCAAUUUAUCAUGAAUACAUUCAUAAUGUCCAUGUAAUUUUGUAGCUCGCUGUAAGUAGGUACAUAAAAUUGUCAUGAUUUAUUUAUGUUUACAUUUAAGAUAGCAGUUAAAUAAUAAUUCCACUGUGGCAACAUUCAUACGUUGCCCCGAUUAAUACGGCAGCACGGUAGUUUUAGCAAGUGGUGGGGACACGAAGUAAUUUAGACACGUUGAUUUAGACAGGCUCGUUCACUUGGGUUGAGGCCGUCAAAGAGGACGCAUCGUAUAGGAUUGGUUCGGUCAAAGUAUCUGCAAGUACCUCCGUUGUCGUAGUAGUAAUAGUUUAGAGUAACCAUGCGAGAAGAAGCACCCCAAAAUACAGAAAUGAUAAAAUUGAGGAUUCCACCUAGUUUUUAACAACUUCGGUAACAUAAUGAUUGAUCAAGAAGAGGACUUAAUAAGCGACGAAGCGACCGGAGAUGGGGUAUAGCCCCAUUUGGCGGCACAUGAACGGAGCUCCAGCGGGAAAUGAAGAGGCUUAGCGAUUUUGGCGAAUACCCACUCUACGCCACUGUACUUAAUGUAAACUAAGAGUAUCAUUAAAAGAAAUUAGGAGCAACUUAAUCUUCUGAUUGUAAACAACUGAAAUGAGGGCACAUUAGAUGG